CUAAAAAUAGAAGUGGUCACAGGCUGCCGUUUUAAAUGAUGGUCUAAGUAUUUUGUUCUGCUCUUACAGGCUUCUGCUUCACAGAUGGCAUUCAAAACAGAUCUCUUCAUAACUCUGUUACUUCUGGUCUUUCACUCGUUACUUAGAAUGAGAGCCAGAGCACCAGAAGGACUUCUGGCUAGUUUCUUCACCGGCACCGUAAAACAGUCAGUUUCUUUUGUAGACUAGUUUGAAGUACUUUUCGCAUUACUUUUCCAUCCUUCUGUUGGAAUUUUAGUGCCUCCACCCCUGGACCACAUUUAUCUGGACCUUGUCCUCUACCUCACUUCCUUCUCCUCUUCUCAGGUUGGGCUCUUCAGCUAGUCCCCAAUUUCCCCCUAGUUUCCUCUGCAGAUGGACAGUCACAGCAAGCCUCGUGGGAGUGUCACCGAUGCUGGCUUUGGUCAAAUCACACAAACCCAGUCAGGUUUCACCUCAUGCUGUCUCUGGGAUUUUUAGCCACAGGAGCUCAUUGAGAAGGUCAGCGAAGAAGUCUACUAUUGCAGUCAAGCCUUUGAUGGGUCUGCUCUAGUCUUAAGUGUGGGAGAGGAAGAGCCUGUGGCCUGGGCCAGGUGGGUUGCAGAGCUCCUCUGGUCUUCAUGUGUCUGAGGAGCUGAGCUUGGAUGGAACCUCCGGGAAACAUGCAUGAAGGCACACAACAUGGACUUCAUCACAAGAGCAGGAGGAACUGACUGAGUUUAGUCUCUGGAGGAAGACAAGAGACUUUAACUCUGCCGGGUUUCUAUGAAGAUGCACCUAUACUCAUAGACCCUGUAGCUCACAGAGCUGUAGGCACACAGCGGGCAGACUCAGCACACAAACCAAAGGAUGAGGACAUGUGCUUCUCCACAGUUAAAGCUGCCUGUGAAACAUCAAUGUGCUCCUCACUGAGGGAAUCGACUUCUCUGUUAUUUGCUCCAUAAUACACCUGAAUCCUUGCCACAUCCAAGACAUGGUGCUAAGACAGUUUCCUAGGAGGAAUCUACAAUAAUACCUACAUCGUGUAGCAAGAAGUAGUGGGGACAACUGCAGCCCUCAUCCAAAGCAGACUCCUUUAGAUUUCUUCCUGAGAUGGCACUGACACCCAAGAGAGUAGUCCUGACUUUUCCUAGUUCCUUCCAACUCAGUUAUCCUAAGGUGACAGAUUAGACAAGACUAGGUUUCCCACUAAUAAAGGAAGACAGAGGUGCGACCUCUAUUUUAAAGGCAGUACAGGGUAUCAGACCCAACCUCUCACAUGUUCUGUGUAAGGAUUGUACCAAUGAGUUAGCUAUGAUACUUUUAAAAAACAUUUAGACAAUGUCCUAUUAUGUUACUUAGGCUAGUCUUGAACUCAUGAUCUUCUUGUCUCAGCAUAUCUUUAUUGCCUUGAAUUCUAGGCCUGUACCACAUAGCAUGACUCUUGAAGACACGAUUUAGAGAAAAAUCAGACUCUGUUUUGUGAGCUAUAUAUAAAUCUUCCAAUUUAGCAACUCUGAUGUUUAUAUAGCUGCUUAUGUGUUUGCUUUUAACGGGCACCCGUUUUGAUAGUGUAAGUAAGUAAAAACAGCCAUGUGAAACUGUUUUGUUUCCUACCAGAGAUAUAUUGCUUUGAUCUAAGGAACAUUUUGUCUUUUUCUCAGUGUCUGGUAAAAAUCAGAGUCUCUCAAAAUUGCUCAAAUGUCAGUGAUGAAGUGUGUUUUAUAGAAAAACAAAGAUGAGCAGCUAUGGUGGUGUGUCAGGACUAUGCUGGCUAGCUGCUGCCAGUCUGUGCUAAAGAGCUCAAACACUGUGGCUGGGGAUGGCUCAGAGAGCCAGAUUUCACAUCUCUAACUCUUACACGAAUGUCAGAUAAGCACAGUGCUCCCCUUAUAACCUUAAUACUCUUCGUGCAGAGGCAGGGGAUCCUUAGAGUAAGCUGGCUAGGUACACUAGCCACAACAGUGAGCUCUGGCUGAGUGAGGGAUUCUGGGAAUGUCGGCAAAUGACAGCUAACCUCAGGCUCCUACAUGUAGGCCCAGACACAUGUGUACCUGCCUGCCUGCAUACAGGUCCUCCCACAAGAUGCACUUAAAAAAAAACCCAAAAAAAUCAGAUCUGAAACAUUUGUGUUCCCGGGGUAAAUUUGGGUCUUUCUCUUACCUGAGGA